UACGUAGGGCGCGAGCGUUGUCCGGAUUUAUUGGGCGUAAAGAGCUCGUAGGCGGUCUGUCGCGUCGGCUGUGAAAACCCGGAGCUCAACUCCGGGCCUGCAGUCGAUACGGGCAGACUGGAGUUCGGCAGGGGAGACUGGAAUUCCCGGUGUAGAGGUGAAAUGCGUAGAUAUCUGGAGGAACACCGGUGGCGAAGGCGGCAUCCUGGACCGGCAUUGACGCUGAGGCGCGAAAGCCAGGGGAGCAAACGGG
rnacentral:rRNA from 1 species